rnacentral:rRNA from 1 species
UGCGUAGGCGGGUUUUUAAGUCAGAGGUGAAAUCCUGGAGCUCAACUCCAGAACUGCCUUUGAUACUGGAAAUCUUGAGUAUGGGAGAGGUGAGUGGAACUGCGAGUGUAGAGGUGAAAUUCGGAGAUAUUCGCAAGAACACCAGUGGCGAAGGCGGCUCACUGGCCCAUAACUGACGCUGAGGCACGAAAGCGUGGGAGCAAACA